ACCACAGCCAGAGGGUGCUGGAGAGGAGUACUGAAGGGAAGAUUUCGCUACAAUUUUCCUCACAAGGCUAAAUCCAUUGCUGUGAAGACCAGAGGAAGCUAUUCCAAUAACAACGUCCCCUUCAGUGAUUCUUUCCAGGGCCAGGAGGAAACAACCCCUACCUUGUCUGUUCGGCACUGAGAGAGAUGGGAGUGGAAAUGGUGGCCAAGGAUCACAGAGAAAGGCCAGAAGAGGAUCAUUAAAACCGGCUGCUUUCAAAUCAAAAAGACCAGCAAAACCUCCAAGAUCAACAUCACAGCCUGUUGGAGAAAAUUAUUAGCUGCAUUUCAAUAGCCAAGAACUGAUUAAGAAGGCAGUUAAAUAAUAAAGGGGCAGACAUAUCCUUUUGAGUUGAAAAUCAUGGACAAAAAAUGCUUUUCUUAAUAUUAGAGACAAGAAAGCAGAAGACUAGGAGCUUGGCUUACAUAGGACAAGUCUGACAGCAACUCGGCAUUAAUCUGGAACAUUUUCCUCAGUGAACUGCAAAGCCUAAAUCAGUUCACAAUGUUUGUCAUAGUUAACUAACUAGCAAAGGUCAGGAUCUGACUUACCUGGUCUGGAGGUGGCUUUUGCUAAAGGCUUAAUUUUCUUGACCAGCAUAUUUCCAGCUGCAAUGUCUACUCCAGAUUCCUUGUAAGUCAGGCCUCUAGAAAGUUAAAAAAUAAAUAAAAUAAAUAAAUAAAUAAAUAAAUAAACUAAGACGUCACCCAAA